rnacentral:tRNA from 1 species
GAUCGGCACUGGCAGCGGGGACCGGCUGUUGGUGGCGGCCCUUGCGCGCGACAGCGAGAAGGUCGUUCGAGGCGAUGCCGAUCA